ensembl:snoRNA SNORD24 Small nucleolar RNA SNORD24
UGCUGACGAUGCAAAAGAAUAUUUGCUAUCAGAAACAUGGUGAUGACAGUUAAACCACCAAGAUCACCGACA